rnacentral:tRNA from 1 species
UGAGGUUGUAGCUCAAUCGGGAGAGCGUGGAUCUGUCAAAGCCAAGGUAGCGGGAUCGAAACCCGUCAGCCUCGU